rnacentral:rRNA from 1 species
GACGAACGCUGGCGGCGUGCUUAACACAUGCAAGUCGAACGGAAAGGCCCUGCUUUUGUGGGGUGCUCGAGUGGCGAACGGGUGAGUAACACGUGAGUAACCUGCCCUUGACUUUGGGAUAACUUCAGGAAACUGGGGCUAAUACCGGAUAGGAGCUCCUGCUGCAUGGUGGGGGUUGGAAAGUUUCGGCUGUCGGGGAUGGAUUCGCGGCUUAUCAGCUUGUUGGUUGGGUAGUGGCUUACCAAGGCUUUGACGGGUAGCCGGCCUGAGAGGGUGACCGGCCACCUUGGGACUAAGAUACGGCCCAGAGUCCUACGGGGGGCAGCAGUGGGGAAUAUUGCACAGUGGGCGGAAGCCUGAUGCAGCAACGCCGCGUGCGGGAUGACGGCCUUCGGGUUGUAAACCGCUUUCGCCUGUGACGAAGCGUGAGUGACGGUAAUGGGUAAAGAAGCACCGGCUAACUACGUG